AAUCCUAAUCCUGGCCUCUGAAGUACUUGCCGCCUGUCCCGUCCUGGUAUCAGCAGUGAUUUUAACUGAACUAAAUCCCGGGCCAACCGAAGAGACGCGCCGUCAAAGCUGCAGCCGGUCGAGUUCGCUAAAUGUGGGAAAUACUUUUCCAAAGCCUUUGAACUCCAAAGUGGAACAGAAGGAA